UAUCCCUUCGUGAGAAAAAAAAAAGAAAGGGGACAUCCUUCUCCCUCCAUGCGCCCGUUCCCCUUUCCUGUCCCGAGCUGCUCAGGGCUCGCAAACCCUAGCGCUGCCCCAUCCCCCGGAGACCUCGCCGGCGGCCGCCGAUUUGGAGCGGAAUGGAUUCUACUGGAGAUGACCUCCCUCCCCAUCUAGGCAUGGAUGUGGGGCGUACCUCUUUCAUCCCACCGGCCAUUUCAGCCCCGAGCGCCGCCACGGACAGCGAGGCGCCUAUGGCCAAGCAUCAGGGCGGGGGCCUGUCCAACCUGGGCGCUGGCGCGGCCGCCAGAGGCACAGGCUAGCAGGGGUGUAAGGGAAACUGCACAAGAUAGACAUUGAAGGUCCGGUGAAGGUUCUGUUGAAGCAAACAAGGCUGCUGCGAAAAGGAAAGCAAGAGAUGUGGCAUGUAAAUUUUGGUUUUAGCUUUUCUCAGUGUCUUGCAAAUUGAGAAUGCUUGCAAUUGCCGGCGGCUGGAAAUGCUUGCAUUUGAGGAGGACGCGAAUAUUCUCGGCCUUUCGCUUGAGCUGUCAAUUCACCGAGGGGCAAGUUAGCAUAUAUAUAUAAUUGGAAUUUAGAAAUCUUAAGGUAGAGGCACCAUAUCUCACCUGCUUCUUCGUCGGCACUGGCCAUUCUCCGGUCUCCUCAUCACUGUAAGUAGAAAAUGUGCAAUGAACUGUCAUCUUCUUAUUCAA